UACGGAGGGUGCAAGCGUUGUCCGGAUUUAUUGGGUUUAAAGGGUGCGUAGGCGGCUUUUUAAGUCAGUGGUGAAAUCCAACAGCUCAACUGUUGAACUGCCAUUGAUACUGGAGAGCUUGAGUACAGACGAGGUAGGCGGAAUCUAUGGUGUAGCGGUGAAAUGCAUAGAUACCAUAAAGAACACCGAUUGCGAAGGCAGCUUACUAGGCUGUAACUGACGCUGAGGCACGAAAGUGUGGGGAUCAAACAGG
rnacentral:rRNA from 1 species